CAUCACUACGCUAGAGCAUAUCAAUAAGCGGAGGAAAAGAAACUAACAAGGAUUCCCCUAGUAACGGCGAGUGAAGCGGGAAGAGCUCAAAUUUGAAAUCUUAAAGGGUUUCCCUUUACGAAUUGUAGUUUAAAGAAGUGUUUUCUGUUGGAGUUUCGGUAAAAGUUCUUUGGAAUAGGACAUCAUAGAGGGUGAGAAUCCCGUAUUUGACCGUUACUUUUCAGCUGUGUGAUACACUUUCAAAGAGUCGGAUUGUUUGGGAAUGCAGUCCAAAAUGGGUGGUAAAUUUCAUCUAAAGCUAAAUAUUGGCGAGAGACCGAUAGCGAACAAGUACCGUGAGGGAAAGAUGAAAAGAACUUUGAAAAGAGAGUUAAACAGUACGUGAAAUUGUCAAAAGGGAAGCGUUUGACACCAGUGUUGUUUAGUUGAAAAUCAAUUAAAUAUUUUCGAUUUUAAGUAGUAUUGACCUUAUCAGCUUGCUGCCUUCUUUUCUGGAAAUUAUUUAAUGCACUUUUCAGUUAACAAGUCAACAUCAAUUUCUUUUGUUGUAAAAGGGUAAGAGGAAGGUGGCUUGCGCUUCGGCUCAAGUGUUUAUAGCCUUUUACCUCUGCAAUCGGAGAGAUUGAGGUCUGCAGCGUAGAUCCUUCGGGGUUAGAUACAUUUGUGCUAAGCUAUAGCCUUGUAUAGACAACUUGUUGACUAUGCUCAGUCAUGUAGCUUACUCGCUUAUGCUAUUUUACCUACGCUUAGGAUGUUGACACACGCGCGUGCUCG
rnacentral:rRNA from 1 species